UUUGCCUAGCAUAUCGAACGCUGCGAAUGAUUUAUAAUUGCCUUGACUUUGAUGCAUGAUUAUAUAAUUGGUUGAGCUAGAAUUUAAUUCUCUUUUCAAUUUUGUGUAACUCCAUCCAUGCAUCACAUCAUUUUGGUAUCAGAGCCUGG